rnacentral:rRNA from 1 species
CCCAGACUCCUACGGGAGGCAGCAGUGGGGGAUAUUGCACAGUGGGGGGAACCCUGAUGCAGCGACGCCGCGUGGGUGAAGGAGCGUUUCGGCGCGUAAAGCCCUAUCGGCAGGGAAGAAGGAGGACGGUACCUGACUAAGAAGCCCCGGCUAACUACGUGCCAGCAGCCGCGGUAAUACGUAGGGGGCAAGCGUUAUCCGGAUUUACUGGGUGUAAAGGGGGCGCAGACGGCAGCGCAAGCCAGGAGUGAAAGCCCGGGGCCCAACCCCGGGACUGCUCUUGGAACUGCGCGGCUGGAGUGCAGGAGGGGCAGGCGGAAUUCCUGGUGUAGCGGUGAAAUGCGUAGAUAUCAGGAGGAACACCGGUGGCGAAGGCGGCCUGCUGGACUGCGACUGACGUUGAGGCCCGAAAGCGUGGGGAGCAAACAGGAUUAGAUACCCCGGUAU